UGCCAGCCGCCGCGGUAAUACGGGAGUGGCAAGCGUUAUCCGGAAUCAUUGGGUUUAAAGGGUCCGUAGGCGGGAAUCUAAGUCAGUGGUGAAAUCUUGCAGCUCAACUGUAAAAUUGCCAUUGAUACUGGAUUUCUUGAAUUAGUGUGAAGUGGUUAGAAUGUGUAGUGUAGCGGUGAAAUGCAUAGAUAUUACACAGAAUACCAAUUGCGAAGGCAGAUCACUAACAAUAUACUGACGCUGAGGGACGAAAGCGUGGGUAGCGAACAGGAUUAGAUA
rnacentral:rRNA from 1 species